rnacentral:rRNA from 1 species
UACGUAGGGGGCGAGCGUUGUCCGGAUUUAUUGGGCCUAAAGCAUCCGUAGCCGGUUCUGCAAGUCUUCCGUUAAAUCCACCUGCUUAACAGAUGGGCCGCGGAAGAUACUAUAGAGCUAGGAGGCGGGAGAGGCAAGCGGUACUCGAUGGGUAGGGGUAAAAUCCGUUGAUCCAUUGAAGACCACCAGUGGCGAAGGCGGCUUGCCAGAACGCGCUCGACGGUGAGGGAUGAAAGCUGGGGGAGCAAACAGG